AUUGAACGCUGGCGGCAGGCCUAACACAUGCAAGUCGAGCGGGGUUUUCGGACCUAGCGGCGGACGGGUGAGUAAUGCGUAGGAAGCUACCCGAUAGAGGGGGAUACCAGUUGGAAACGACUGUUAAUACCGCAUAAUGUCUACGGACCAAAGUGUGGGACCUUCGGGCCACAUGCUAUCGGAUGCGCCUACGUGGGAUUAGCUAGUUGGUGGGGUAAUGGCUCACCAAGGCGACGAUCCCUAGCUGGUUUGAGAGGGUGAUCAGCCACACUGGAACUGAGACACGGUCCAGACUCCUACGGGAGGCAGCAGGGGGGAAUAUUGGACAAUGGGCGCAAGCCUGAUCCAGCCAUGCCGCGUGUGUGAAGAAGGCCUUCGGGUUGUAAAGCACUUUCAGUAGGGAGGAAGGGUGUUGUGUUAAUAGCACAGCAUUUUGACGUUACCUACAGAAGAAGCACCGGCUAACUCUGUGCCAGCCGCCGCCGUAACAC
rnacentral:rRNA from 1 species